rnacentral:rRNA from 1 species
CAAUAGCGUAUAUUAAAGUUGUUGCAGUUAAAAAGCUCGUAGUUGAAUUUUUGCUUGCCGCCGAUGUCGGAACUUCCGUACGUUCGGCGGCGUGCAUCCUUGGGUGGAACCUGUGUGGCAUUAGGUUGUCGUGCAGGGGAUGCUCAUCGUUUACUGUGAAAAAAUUAGAGUGUUCAAAGCAGGCUUAUGCCGUUGAAUAUAUUAGCAUGGAAUAAUAAGAUAGGACCUUGGUACUAUUUUGUUGGUUUGCGCACCGAGGUAAUGAUUAAUAGGGACAGUUGUGGGUAUUCGUAUUCCAUUGUCAGAGGUGAAAUUCUUGGAUUAUUGGAAGACGAACGAAUGCGAAAGCAUUUACCAAGGAUGUUUUCAUUAA